rnacentral:rRNA from 1 species
UACAGAGGUCUCGAGCGUUGUUCGGAUUCAUUGGGCGUAAAGGGUGCGUAGGCUGCGGGGCAAGUCUGAUGUGAAAUCCUGGGGCUCAACCCCAGAACUGCAUUGGAUACUGCCUUGCUAGAGUACUGGAGAGGAGACUGGAAUUUACGGUGUAGCAGUGAAAUGCGUAGAUAUCGUAAGGAAGACCAGUGGCGAAGGCGGGUCUCUGGACAGUUCCUGACGCUGAGGCACGAAGGCCAGGGGAGCAAACGGG